rnacentral:lncRNA from 1 species
AGAGCAAACCUGCAAGUUGUUCAUUGGGGAAUUUGAUAAAGAAGAAAAGAUUAAAGCCACCCCACUCAAACUUGACCCCACCCCUACUCCCUUAAAAUUAACUAAACUAAAGCAAAGCUCUACGAAAAAGUCUCUCUCUCUCUCUCUCUUCUUGAUUCUUGUAUGGAGAAAUUCAGUAGAUCUAAAUCAAGCAGAGUGCAGGUAGAGAAGUACAACUCCAUUAAUGGAGAAGCUCCAACUAGCAUGCAAGAUCUGAGGAGUUACAGCACUUCUACUUCUUCN